rnacentral:pre_miRNA from 1 species
AACCGGGUUGGUGGGAGGCAUGGUCAUGCCCCCCACUUUCCCGCCUUU